rnacentral:rRNA from 1 species
UACGUAGGGUGCGAGCGUUACUCGGAAUUACUGGGCGUAAAGCGUGCGCAGGCGGUUCGCCAAGUCAGGUGUGAAAUCCCCGGGCUUAACCUGGGAAUUGCGCUUGAAACUAGCGGGCUUGAGUGUGGCAGAGGGGGGUGGAAUUCCACGUGUAGCAGUGAAAUGCGUAGAGAUGUGGAGGAACACCGAUGGCGAAGGCAGCCCCCUGGGUCAACACUGACGCUCAUGCACGAAAGCGUGGGGAGCAAACAGG